rnacentral:rRNA from 1 species
AUACGUAGGGGGCAAGCGUUGUCCGGAAUUACUGGGUGUAAAGGGAGCGUAGGCGGGAAGACAAGUUGAAUGUUUAAACUAUCGGCUUAACCGGUAGUCGCGUUCAAAACUGUUUUUCUUGAGUGAAGUAGAGGUAGGCGGAAUUCCUAGUGUAGCGGUGAAAUGCGUAGAUAUUAGGAGGAACACCAGUGGCGAAGGCGGCCUACUGGGCUUUAACUGACGCUGAUGCUCGAAAGCGUGGGUAGCAAACAGGAUUAGAUACCCUGGUAGCCCACGCUGUAAACGAUGAUUACUAACCGUCGGCGAUAGACCGCCGGUGGCCAAGCGAAAGCGAUAAGUCAUCCACCUGGGGAGUACGACCGCAAGGUUGAAACUUAAAGGAAUUGACGGGG